CCAGCGCGUUGACGGUUGACGUGUUCCGGUGGCGCCGGUGGAGGGGAGUUGGAAUGUUGAGGAAGCCGGACCGUAAUAGAGCUUGUUUGAAGUUCAUCUUUGCCGGUUCAAUAAGAUUAAGAAUAAAAAAUAAUGACCACCCCAAGUAAAACUCCGCCUGGAGAAGACCCAAAACAGUUGGAAAGAACUGGCACUGUGCGUGAGAUAGGCUCACAGGCUGUUUGGUCCCUAUCUUCUUGUAAACCAGGAUUUGGAGUGGAUCAGUUACGUGAUGAUAACCUGGAAACAUAUUGGCAGUCAGAUGGAUCUCAGCCUCAUCUUGUUAACAUUCAGUUCCGAUGUACGUUCAAGUUCAACAUCCUGGAGGGUACCAUUGACCAGAAAGUGAACUGGACUAGCCAUAUAAAUACACUGACCUCAAGAGCAAGUCAGAGGCUAGAAAUCCUGCAACGGAAAACAACUGUGAAAACCCUAUGUAUUUAUGCAGACUACAAAUCAGAUGAAAGCUAUACUCCAAGCAAGGUCUCUGUCAGAGUGGGAAACAACUUUCACGACCUUAAAGAAAUGCGGCAACUGGAACUGGUGGAGCCAAGUGGAUGGAUUCAUGUUCCACUCACUGAUGUCAACAAGAAGCCAAUCCGUACAUUUAUGAUACAGAUUGCUGUACUAGCAAAUCAUCAGAAUGGAAGAGACACUCACAUGAGACAAAUUAAAGUCUACACACCAGUGGAAGAAAGUUCAAUCGUUAAUACUACAUGGGGAACAGAAAGUUAUACGUUGAAUGGAGACAAAAUAAAAUUAAUGCCUGAAGCCAUACAAUUUGAGUGGUCAUGAUAGAACCCUGGUUUCCACAACGAACAUGACCUGCUGUUCCCUUGGAUCAAGACUAAAGAUCUUCAUUAGAAAAUGUAAAAAUUCAAGUAGUUGAAGAAAAUACUGCAGUUGUGAUCAUCAGUUGGAGAAACCCCUUGACAAUGAACACAAAUUUUUGCUGAACAAAAUAAUGCU